GUCAUUGUCGUUCCAUGAGGGUGAUGAUAAUCCAAACAUUCGCCUUUUGCAUGAUUUAUUGUUGGCUUACUCUCUUCAACAACUUUGAUCUUGGUUAUUGUCAGGUAACAUAUAUGUCCCUAUUAUUUAUAGAGUAAAUUACAAUUUUGUCCUUGUGGUAUUUCAAAAGUUAUGGUUUUCAUCUAGUUGUUUCAUUUGUUGCACAGGUGGUCUACAAAGUAUAGCUUUGUUAUAAGGUUAGUCCCUAACGUUGAUGGUGUUACAAAUUGUCCAUGAAGUCCAAGUAAAAUUACUAUUUUGCCUCUAUCUCUUUCUCCUUCAUCACCUAACCAUAAUAAAAUUCCUCAAUCUCCACCUUAAAACCAAAAAUUAAACUAAAACUAAAACAAAAUGAAGAUCCGGGGUACCAACAAAUUGCAAAAAAAAACAUGAGCAUCAAAAUAGAAAGAUUUUGAAGUUAGAUUUUUUAGAUCUUGAUUUUGGUUUAAGUUUUGGGUUUUGAUUGAGUGUGGUUUGGUUUUUAUGAUUUAUGUGUAAGGAGAUUUGAAAUAAACAGUUUUUUUCCGCAAAGGACAGUGAUCUCCUCCUCUCACUAAUAAUGUUGUUCAUCAAUCAUGAAAGAUAAAUCAUAAGCUUUCUGGUGUUUUCUUACUUUAAUGGAAAGAUCAAGUCCAAAGAUCCAUCUGUGAUAAAAAAAGGCAUGCACUCUCAACUCUUUGCAUCAUCAAAGGUCCUCCCUCUAUCUCACUAUAGAACAAGGGUAUUUUCGUCGUUUAAUAAAAUAGGAAGAAUGUAACUGAAAUCCUUCCACCGGCCCCUAUGAAUGGUUCAAAUCCAUCAAAUAUCACAUUCGAAGGAAUUUGACAGAGUUGAAUCCGGUCCAAAUUUUUAACCAAAUGCACCAUUGAAUGGAAUAUUGAAUUCCAAUUCCACCGGAAUCAACAAUUCUAAUUCAUAGCUGCGAUUUUCAAAAAUGAUACUUCAAGAAAUCCGACAGAACUGAAUUCUGUCUUAAUUGUCAAUCAAACAUGUCUUGAUAAGGAAUCUUGAAUUCCAAUUCUGUUGGAAUCCGCGAUUCCUUUUCUUAGCUGGUGGAACUACUCAACAACUUAUUUUAGUUGUUACAACUUGUAUAAAAUCUUUUUGAUGCUUAAAUUCCUGUAUCAUCCUUAAUUAGUAAUGGAUCACUUGGAAUUGCAGUUUUCAGAUGAAAAUAAGGAUGAAACUAAUAUCUUUUUCAAGAUUAGAAUUAUCAAGUUUGUAGGGCUACCUUGGUUUUUUGCUGACAUAAGUAUAUGAAGAUUGUAAAGUUGCAUAACCAAUCCGAAUUUAUGUUGUUUUUACAUGUAUCAAUCAUUAUCAUCUGACACAUCUUAUUUUCAUGGUUAUGUUAAUAGGACAACCAAAGCAGUCAAGAGCUCCUAGCAAUUUGGAAAAAAAAAGCCAGUGGUCACUAAAUUGUCAAAGGUACAAAACCAAACUCUACUUACUUAAUAAUUAAUAUGGAUGCAAAUUGUCUAAUAGUGUAAUAAUGAAAAAAGCGUUGCUAUAUUAGUGUCCCAUGAAGGGACCUAUCUGUGAGUGAUUGUCAUUUUAAUUUUUCCCAUUAGGACAUUUUAAUUUUACGUUCUUAUUAAGACAAUGCACUUUGAUUAUGGUUACCAGUUUAAAUUAUUAUAUAUUAUUUAUUUUGCUAUUAGAAAAUUUUCUUUGAAAAUCGAACCGGUUGUGGCAUUAUAAUUUCAUAUAUAGCAUUAUACUUUCAGUAUCAAAUCUAUUAAGAUAAUAUACUUUUUGUCUUAAGUCAUUUCAUUUUGAAAAUCUACACUUGAUUACCUUUUUCCCCUAUUUAGAUAUUGUUCUUUGAUAAAUGGUUUAUGAAGACAUUGCAGUUCAAAAGUUAUAAAUUUACAAUUUAACCUGUUAAAUUAUAAUUUUUUUUCCUUCUAAGAUAUUGUACUUUGAUAUUACUUUGAAAAUCUAAAGAUUUUUGAUAUUGGUUACUGUCUAUAGGAUUUUACUUUCAAUUUUUUUUCCUAUUACGGCAUUGUACAUUGAAAACUUGUUUGAUUUUUGUUACAAAUAGCAUUUUAUUUUAAGCUUUUCUUGUUAAAACAUUAUGCUUUGAAAAACCUACCUAAUAGUAGCACUACAACUUUCAGUUAUAGCAUUAUGCUUUCAAUGUCCCUAUUUUUUUAAUGUUUUUUUUUUCAGGUAUGACAUUGUAUGAUUAAAUUCUUAUGGAUUAUAGUUUUAUACUCUCUCAUAUAGCACUAUACUUUUGAUAUCUAACCUAUUAAUCCAUUUUUACUAAUUAUAGGAUUUUACCUCGAAUUAUAAAUUUGUUUUACGUUAUUACCCUCUUCAGACACAUGCGAUAUGCUUCUCUUGGAGGGUUUGAUGUGGCAAUGAAACGUAUGUUGAAAAUUGUGG
rnacentral:lncRNA from 1 species